AUUGAACGCUGGCGGCAGGCUUAACACAUGCAAGUCGAGCGGGGAAAGGUAGCUUGCUACCUGACCUAGCGGCGGACGGGUGAGUAAUGCUUAGGAAUCUGCCUAUUAGUGGGGGACAACAUCUCGAAAGGGAUGCUAAUACCGCAUACGUCCUACGGGAGAAAGCAGGGGACCUUCGGGCCUUGCGCUAAUAGAUGAGCCUAAGUCGGAUUAGCUAGUUGGUGGGGUAAAGGCCUACCAAGGCGACGAUCUGUAGCGGGUCUGAGAGGAUGAUCCGCCACACUGGGACUGGGACGCGGCCCAGACUCCUACGGGAGGGAGCAGUGGGGAAUAUUGGACAAUGGGGGGAACCCUGAUCCAGCCAUGCCGCGUGUGUGAAGAAGGCCUUUUGGUUGUAAAGCACUUUAAGCGAGGAGGAGGCUACCGAGAUUAAUACUCUUGGAUAGUGGACGUUACUCGCAGAAUAAGCACCGGCUAACUCUGUGCCAGCCGCCGCGGUAA
rnacentral:rRNA from 1 species